rnacentral:rRNA from 1 species
GACAGAGGUCCCGAGCGUUAGGCGGAAUCACUGGGCUUAAAGCGUGUGUAGGCGGAUCGUUAAGUACCUUGUGAAAUCCCACGGCUUAACCGUGGAACUGCUUGGUAUACUGGCGAUCUUGAGCCACUUAGGGGCAACCGGAACAAACGGUGGAGCGGUGAAAUGCGUAGAUAUCAGGAGGAACACCGGUGGUGUAGACGGCUCUCUGGACCGUAACUGACGCUGAGGAGCGAAAGCGUGGGGAGCGAACAGG